rnacentral:rRNA from 1 species
UGGGGAAUAUUGGACAAUGGGCGAAAGCCUGAUCCAGCCAUGCCGCGUGUGUGAAGAAGGUCUUCGGAUUGUAAAGCACUUUAAGUUGGGAGGAAGGGCAUUAACCUAAUACGUUAGUGUUUUGACGUUACCGACAGAAUAAGCACCGGCUAACUCUGUGCCAGCAGCCGCGGUAAUACAGAGGGUGCAAGCGUUAAUCGGAAUUACUGGGCGUAAAGCGCGUGUAGGUGGUUUGUUAAGUUGGAUGUGAAAGCCCCGGGCUCAACCUGGGAACUGCAUCCAAAACUGGCAAGCUAGAGUACGGUAGAGGGUGGUGGAAUUUCCUGUGUAGCGGUGAAAUGCGUAGAUAUAGGAAGGAACACCAGUGGCGAAGGCGACCACCUGGACUGAUACUGACACUGAGGUGCGAAAGCGUGGGGAGCAAACA